rnacentral:lncRNA from 1 species
UCCUUCUCAUCUUCUUCUUGCUUCUGUAUGUCCUCUCUAAUAGCUGAUGGAUGAGAGCCAGAUGUUUCAGCAUUCUAUAAUAAAAAAAAUAAAAUAUUAUUAAUAAGUUUUUAUGUGAAAGUGUAUAUAUCGAUAUGGAGUUGUAUAUUUUGAUAUACUACUUUGAUUCUCAAAUAUAUUAUUUUUAUAUAUUCCUUUCGAUGAUACAGAGCUAUAGACACCUUCGAUCUAUCAUUUGAAUGGUUAGAUUG